rnacentral:rRNA from 1 species
GACGAACGCUGGCGGCGUGCUUAACACAUGCAAGUCGAACGGUAAGGCCCUUCGGGGUACACGAGUGGCGAACGGGUGAGUAACACGUGGGUGAUCUGCCCUGCACUUCGGGAUAAGCCUGGGAAACUGGGUCUAAUACCGGAUAGGACCACUGCCUGCAUGGGUGGUGGUGGAAGGCUUUUGCGGUGUGGGAUGGGCCCGCGGCCUAUCAGCUUGUUGGUGGGGUGAUGGCCUACCAAGGCGACGACGGGUAGCCGGCCUGAGAGGGUGACCGGCCACACUGGGACUGAGAUACGGCCCAGACUCCUACGGGAGGCAGCAGUGGGGAAUACUGCACAAUGGGCGCAAGCCUGAUGCAGCGACGCCGCGUGAGGGAUGACGGCCUUCGGGUUGUAAACCUCUUUCAGCACCGACGAAGCGCAAGUGACGGUAGGUGCAGAAGAAGGACCGGCCAACUACGUGCCAGCAGCCGCGGUAA